rnacentral:lncRNA from 1 species
AGGGCCGAGACGGGAGGAGGGCACCCACCUGGUCGGUGUCACAUGCUGCUUCGGCCCCAGCGUCCCCUCCAGGUCCCGGCGCCGGCCGCAGUCCCCAGAGCCGUCCCCAGCGCAGGCCCGGCCGCCCCACCCGCGGCCCGCCCCUGGCCGCCCGACGGGAGGGAGGGAUCGGGUUCUCCUAGGAAGUUUCAGUAUGCAUUCUUAGAAACCAGAUAUACAAAGACAAGAUCUCUGCUUUCAAGAAGCUCUCAAUCUGAUUGAGGAGAGAAACAGGUAGCAAAUAAUGGCAGCAGAGCAUGGUCAUUCAACAUUUAUUCAACCAAAAAUACUAAGUCAGCUCUAUACAAACUAAUGGAAGGAUACAGCUAUGCAAAUAUAGAACACUAAAGUGUUACAUGACAGAUGUAUGAGAACUGGGAAGAAAGGACCCUGAAAAGUUAGCUGGUUCCAAGUGACCCUCCAAGGGGAAGAGUGCUGGAUUCAGAGCCCACCUCAGGGGAAGACAGGACCCUCUCCAAGAUGGUUUCCCUAGAAGCUACUACCUCUCCCUGGAGGGUGGAGAUAUUUGCUGGUCAAAGUAGUGAAAUGGUGAAAAAUCAGACAAUGGUCACAGAGUUCCUCCUACUGGGAUUUCUCCUGGGCCCAAGGAUUCAGAUGCUCCUCUUUGGGCUCUUCUCCCUGUUCUAUGUCUUCACCCUGCUGGGGAAUGGGACCAUCCUGGGGCUCAUCUCACUGGACUCCAGACUCCACACCCCCAUGUACUUCUUCCUCUCACACCUGGCCGUCGUCAACAUCGCCUAUGCCUGCAACACAGUGCCCCAGAUGCUGGUGAACCUCCUGCAUCCAGCCAAGCCCAUCUCCUUU